CGAAGAACGCGGACAGACUCGUACAGUAUGCAGCAGUAGCAAUUCGUUCAACAGCGUACGCCUGAAUCAGGCCAUGCCGCGUGCAAGAUUGACUGCCCUUAUGGUGGUAGAAUGGCUUUGUGCAUGGAAUUAAUCCUUUCUACGUGUAGAAAGCUGAAUGUAGCUGCAGCAUAAGGGAUCGCCUAACUCCGUGGCCAGCAGCCGCGGGUAAUACGGAGGAUCCGAGCGUUAUCCGGAUUUAUUGGGUUUAAAGGGUGCGUAGGCGGCAUAUUAAGUCAGGGGUGAAAUACGGUGGCUCAACCAUCGCAGUGCCUUUGAUACUGAUGGGCUUGAAUCCAUUUGAAGUGGGCGGAAUAAGACAAGUAGCGGUGAAAUGCAUAGAUAUGUCUUAGAACUCCGAUUGCGAAGGCAGCUCACUAAGCUGGUAUUGACGCUGAUGCACGAAAGCGUGGGGAUCGAACAGGAUUAGAUACCCUGGUAGUCCACGCCCUAAACGAUGAUAACUCGAUGUUGGCGAUAGACAGCCAGCGUCCAAGCGAAAGCGUUAAGUUAUCCACCUGGGGAGUACGCCCGCAAGGGUGAAACUCAAAGGAAUUGACGCGGGCCCGCACAAGCGGAGGAGCAUGUGGUUUAAUUCGAUGAUACGCGAGGAACCUUACCCGGGCUUGAAAGUUAGUGAAGAGUGCAGAGACGCACUCGUCCUUCGGGACACGAAACUAGGUGCUGCAUGGCUGUCGUCAGCUCGUGCCGUGAGGUGUUGGGUUAAGUCCCGCAACGAGCGCAACCCCUAUGUUUAGUUGCCAGCAUGUCAUGGUGGGGACUCUAAACAGACUGCCUGUGCAAACAGAGAGGAAGGUGGGGACGACGUCAAGUCAUCAUGGCCCUUACGUCCGGGGCUACACACGUGCUACAAUGGAUGGUACAGCGGGCAGCUACAUAGCAAUAUGAUGCUAAUCUCUAAAAGCCAUUCACAGUUCGGAUUGGGGUCUGCAACUCGACCCCAUGAAGUUGGAUUCGCUAGUAAUCGCGUAUCAGCAAUGACGCGGUGAAUACGUUCCCGGGCCUUGUACACACCGCCCGUCAACCCACUAAAUAGGUUCCCCCAACACCAAUACCAAGUAGG
rnacentral:rRNA from 1 species